rnacentral:rRNA from 1 species
AACGAACGCUGGCGGCAUGCCUAACACAUGCAAGUCGAACGAGACCUUCGGGUCUAGUGGCGCACGGGUGCGUAACGCGUGGGAACCUUCCCUUAGGUUCGGCCUAACUCCCCGACAGGGGUGCUAAUACCGGAUAAUGUCUUCUGACCAAAGAUUUAUCGCCUUUGGAUGUGCCCGCGUUGGAUUAGCUUGUUGUUAGGGUAAUAGCCUACCACGGCGACGAUCCAUAGCUGGUCUGAGAGGAUGAUCAGCCACACUGGGACUGAGACACGGCCCAGACUCCUACGGGAGGGAGGAGAGGGGAAUAGAGGACAAUGGGCGAAGGGAUGAAGCAGCAAGGACGGGUGAGCGAUGAAGGUAUUAGGGUUGUAAAGCGCUUGUAACCGGGAUGAUAAUGACAGUACCGGGAGAAUAAGCUCCGGCUAACUACGUG